ACGAACGCUGGCGGCGUGCUUAACACAUGCAAGUCGAACGGAAAGGCCCUGCUUGCAGGGUGCUCGAGUGGCGAACGGGUGAGUAACACGUGGGUGAUCUGCCCCUUACUUUGGGAUAAGCCUGGGAAACUGGGUCUAAUACUGGAUAGGACCAUGUUGUAGGUGGUGUGGUGGAAAGAUUAGUUUCGGUAAGGGAUGAGCUCGCGGCCUAUCAGCUUGUUGGUGGGGUAAUGGCCUACCAAGGCGUCGACGGGUAGCCGGCCUGAGAGGGUGGACGGCCACAUUGGGACUGAGAUACGGCCCAGACUCCUACGGGAGGCAGCAGUGGGGAAUAUUGCACAAUGGGCGCAAGCCUGAUGCAGCGACGCCGCGUGGGGGAUGACGGCCUUCGGGUUGUAAACUCCUUGCAGCCAUGACGAAGCCCUUGUGGUGACGGUAGUGGUAGAAGAAGCACCGGCUAACUACGUG
rnacentral:rRNA from 1 species